GAUGAACGCUGGCGGCGUGCCUAAUACAUGCAAGUCGAGCGAACGGACGAGAAGCUUGCUUCUCUGAUGUUAGCGGCGGACGGGUGAGUAACACGUGGAUAACCUACCUAUAAGACUGGGAUAACUUCGGGAAACCGGAGCUAAUACCGGAUAAUAUUUUGAACCGCAUGGUUCAAAAGUGAAAGACGGUCUUGCUGUCACUUAUAGAUGGAUCCGCGCUGCAUUAGCUAGUUGGUAAGGUAACGGCUUACCAAGGCAACGAUGCAUAGCCGACCUGAGAGGGGUGUUCGCCACCCCUGGACCUGAGCACGGGUCAAACUCCCACGGGGAGCAACAAGAGGGAAUCUUCCGGAAUGGGCGAAAGCCUUACCGAGCAACGCCGCGUGGGGUAAUAAAGGCUUCCGGUCGUAAAACUCUUGUAAUAGGGAAGAACAUAUGUGGUAAGAACUGUGCACAACUUGGCGGUACCUAAACAGAAAGCCACGGCUAACUACGUG
rnacentral:rRNA from 1 species